UACGUAGGGUGCAAGCGUUAAUCGGAAUUACUGGGCGUAAAGCGUGCGCAGGCGGUUCGCUAAGACCGAUGUGAAAUCCCCGGGCUUAACCUGGGAACUGCAUUGGUGACUGGCGGGCUAGAGUAUGGCAGAGGGGGGUAGAAUUCCAUGUGUAGCAGUGAAAUGCGUAGAGAUGUGGAGGAAUACCGAUGGCGAAGGCAGCCCCCUGGGCCAAUACUGACGCUCAUGCACGAAAGCGUGGGGAGCAAACAGG
rnacentral:rRNA from 1 species